rnacentral:rRNA from 1 species
UACGGAGGGUGCAAGCGUUGUCCGGAAUCACUGGGCGUAAAGGGCGCGUAGGCGGCUCGGUAAGUAGGGGGUGAAAUCCUGCGGCUUAACCGCAGGGCUGCCUUCUAAACUGUCGAGCUCGAGCACGGUAGAGGCAGAUGGAAUUCCCGGUGUAGCGGUGGAAUGCGUAGAGAUCGGGAAGAACAUCAGUGGCGAAGGCGGUCUGCUGGGCCGUUGCUGACGCUGAGGCGCGAAAGCGUGGGGAGCGAACAGG